rnacentral:rRNA from 1 species
GGGCUGCAGUAUUUUGACUGUACAAAGGUAGCAUAAUCAAUAGUCUCUUAAUUGGUGACUUGUAUGAAAGAUUGGAUGAGAUAUAUACUGUCUCUAAUUAAUUUAUAGAAUUUAAUUUUUUAGUAAAAAAGCUAAAAUAAGUUUAAAAGACGAGAAGACCCUAUAGAGUUUAAUAAUUUAUUUAAUUAUUAUUAAUAUAUAAUUUUUAAAAUUAAAAUUAAAUAAAUUAUUUUAUUGGGGUGAUAGAAAAAUUAAAUUAACUUUUUUUUGUUAUUUACAUUAAUUUAUGAUUAAGUGAUCCAUUUAUAAUGAUUAAAAGAAAAAAUUACCUUAGGGAUAACAGCGUAAUUUUUUUUUUUAGUUCAAAUAGGAAAAAAAGUUUGCGACCUCGAUGUUGGAUUAA